UGCGAACGGGUGAGUAACGCGUAGGUAACCUGCCUGGUAGCGGGGGAUAACUAUUGGAAACGAUAGCUAAUACCGCAUAAGAGUAGAUGUUGCAUGACAUUUGCUUAAAAGGUGCAAUUGCAUCACUACCAGAUGGACCUGCGUUGUAUUAGCUAGUUGGUGGGGUAACGGCUCACCAAGGCGACGAUACAUAGCCGACCUGAGAGGGUGAUCGGCCACACUGGGACUGAGACACGGCCCACACUCCUACGGGAGGCAGCAGUAGGGAAUCUUCGGCAAUGGACGGAAGUCUGACCGAGCAACGCCGCGUGAGUGAAGAAGGUUUUCGGAUCGUAAAGCUCUGUUGUAAGAGAAGAACGAGUGUGAGAGUGGAAAGUUCACACUGUGACGGUAUCUUACCAGAAAGGGACGGCUAACUACGUGCCAGCAGCCGCGGUAAUACGUAGGUCCCGAGCGUUGUCCGGAUUUAUUGGGCGUAAAGCGAGCGCAGGCGGUUAGAUAAGUCUGAAGUUAAAGGCUGUGGCUUAACCAUAGUACGCUUUGGAAACUGUUUAACUUGAGUGCAAGAGGGGAGAGUGGAAUUCCAUGUGUAGCGGUGAAAUGCGUAGAUAUAUGGAGGAACACCGGUGGCGAAAGCGGCUCUCUGGCUUGUAACUGA
rnacentral:rRNA from 1 species